CAAGUUUUGUUCCCAUACAUCCCUCUUCAGUUUCCAUACUUAAGUAAGAGUAUGUGAAAAGUAGUUAGGGUUGCCACCUUUCUUGGAAAAACAUACCAGCCUUACUAAUUUGCAUAAUUAAAUAUGUGUGGGUGACAUCACAUGAUUUAAAUCACAAGGAGUAACAUAAGAGAAAAUGCUGUAAAAUCACCAAAAAACUACUUUGUUUAAAACUGCUGUACAGAUGGAUUCAUCCCAG